CUCAUCUCUUGUAUCCUCAAACACUAAGAUACUGAUGUUCUUUUCCUCUUCUCACCAUUCCCUUGCAUGCCAUUUUUUUCAGGUAACCAGGUUCAAUGAAGAAUGGGAGAAUUAUGUUUACUGAUAAUGUGCAUUUUUAUUUACUGUGCCUUAUUAGUUCAUUUGGCAUGGACGCCCUUACUUUUGCAUCAGCUCAGGCUUAGCAAGAAAGAUUCUCAUCCUGUUUUAAUUGCUGACCCAUGAAUGAUUAAUCUUGACCCCCCACCCUCAAGCAACUCUGUUGCUUUUCGCUUGCGAGAACGCAGUUCUGUAAUCUAGCUUAACUCAGACCGAUUCCUUAUUUUAUUGAUAAUCUCAUCUAUUUGUCAUGUGAGUAAUUUAAGUGGCGCUUAAACAACAAUGAAACAAUUGUCCAGAUGUGGUUGGAACAAAACCAUAUCCACUUGCCGUCAAAAAAAAAGAAAAGAAAAAUAAGUGCAAAUUUGUUAUUUCUUGUUCCUCGUAUGGUUAAAGAUGGUCUUCCUCGUAUGGUUGAAGAUGGUCUUGUUUCUCACUAUGAAUUAUUCUUGUGCUUGCAGAUGGAUGAUACUCUGACAACUGGAAGCAUCAGGAGUACAGAGGGGGAAAAGAGACGUUUAGCAGAGGCUUCACUUGCCUACAACUGUGAGAGCACCAUCAUCCACAUAUUAACGUGCGCAGCGUGAAGCCGCGCUUGUUCUUCUAGUAACAUCCAAUGGCCAAUGCUAUCUAGAGAAUAUUCAUCAAGAGCAGUUAAGUAUGCAAAUUAUUCAGGAGUUGAAUAGUUCCAAAAAGUUGGUAUAGAGCAUGCUAUCUAGUAAUUCCUUGAUGACAUGCACAUCAUUUUAGAACACUUAGUCUUUACUUGGAUUUUGAAUAUUUCUGUUGAAAUGUGAACACUGACUUUCGACAUGGUCACUACCUCAAAUGAAUCAUUAAUAUACCUUGCCUGAUUUUUGUUUUUGCAGGAUAUAGAAGACUAAAUGAUUUACAGAUUACAGGGGAAAAGAGAAACGGCCAAUUAAUCAGUUCUACAUGUAGAAAGCUGUAGAUAGCUUUAAUUAGUGAGACAAUUGUGUGAACUUCAUUUUUUUUUUGCCAUUGCACCUUUUUUUUUUGGUUUAAAUGUACCGUUGAGCUGUAACUUCGAUGAUUUAUCCAAUAUAAAUAAAAAUAGUUAUGAUCAUAUAAA